ensembl:lncRNA
GUUGACCCAGCUGAUAUCUAAAACCUGCAGGACACCGGCACUUGCGGCCUGAAGUUGGACACCCCUGCUCUGAUAUUUCAUUCUGCGGUGAUGCCUGUCCGCUAGGUUACCAUGACUACCUGACACUGAAGGCACCUCUUCAUCCAUCUGUGCUGCAGCAGUCGCUUCCACCUUGCCCGGCUCUAACCUAUCCACCCACCAUUCCUUCCAUCAGUUCUUCCCCCUGCAAUACAAGCGGCAUUCGCCCAUAGAAAGGAAGAUAAGGUCGAGGCUGCUGGCUUUUUGAAAGCACCGACACCGCAAGAGCUGAACUCAGUCGACAAAAGCGAGGGAGCGACAAGCAACGGGGG